GAGAUUUGCAUGAGGACCUCCCUCCUGAGGAUAAAGAGGCCCAGAGGCCCAGCCAGCCUUGGGCUCAGAGGCAGAGCUCAGGGCACCUCCACCAUGGCCUGGACCCCUCUCCUGCUCCCCCUCCUCUCUCUCUGCACAGGUUAUGUGGCCUCUUCUAAGCUGACUCAGCCCCCGGGGGUGUCUGUGUCCUUGGGAGGGACGGCCAGCAUCACCUGCCAAGGAGCCAACUUUGGAAGCUAUUAUGCUCACUGGUACAAGCAGAAGCCUGGCCAGUCCCCCGAGCUGGUCAUUUAUGAAUACAACAAGAGACCCUCAGGGAUCCCGGACCGGUUCUCUGGGUCCAACUCAGGAGACACCGCCACCCUGACCAUUAGCGGGGCCCAGGCUGAGGACGAGGCCGACUACUACUGUCAGUCAGCUGACAGCAGUGGUAAUGCUUACAACCUGCAGGGGGAAGCUGGCUCUCUGAAGCCUGGGGAUCCAAAGCGGCCAGGGUUUCUGCAGGGAGCACCUUAG